rnacentral:lncRNA from 1 species
CUGAACCAUGUGGUGGGCGGGACUGCUCCACCUGUCAGUGUUUCCCAGCCAAGGGAGCAAGGGGUGCUCCUGGUUCUCUGGGUCUGCAGGGCCCUAACGGACCCAUGGGCUUCCCGGGUCCUCAGGGGCCUCCAGGAGAGAAAGGCCAGAGAGGAGAUGAGGGGCCAACAGGAGCUGCAGGCCUGAAAGGACAUAUGGGAUCUCUUGGUGUUCCUGGUUUUCCAGGUUUGGAUGGAGUUCCGGGACACCCGGGACCUGCUGGAGGUCCAGGACGUCCAGGUCUGGAUGGAUGUAAUGGAACUAGAGGAGACAAGGGGAAAGCUGGCCUUCCGGGAGAACAAG